rnacentral:rRNA from 1 species
CCUACGGGCGGCAGCAGUGGGGAAUAUUGCACAAUGGGGGAAACCCUGAUGCAGCGACGCCGCGUGAGUGAAGACGUACUUCGGUAUGUAAAGCUCUAUCAGCAGGGAAGUAAAUGACGGUACGUGACUAAGUAGCCCCGGCUAAAUACGUGCCAGCAGCCGCGGUAAUACGUCGGGGGCAAGCGUUAUCCGGAUUUACUGGGUGUAAAGGGAGCGUAGACGGUUGGGGAAGUGUGAAGUGAAAUCGCAUGGCUUAACCAUGGAAGUGCUAUGGAAACUGUGAAGCUGGAGUGCAGGAGAGGUAAGCGGAAUUCCUGGUGUAGCGGUGAAAUGCGUAGAUAUUAGGAAGAACACCAAUGGCGAAGGCAGCUUACUGGACUGUAACUGACGUUGAGGCUCGAAAGCGUGGGGAGCAAACAGGAUUAGAUACCCCAGUAGUC